rnacentral:rRNA from 1 species
AAUCAACGCUGGCGGCGUGCCUCAGACAUGCAAGUCGAACGCGAAAGUUCCCUUCGGGGGAUAAGUAGAGUGGCGUCCGGGUGAGUAACACGUAGGUAAUCUACCUUUGGGUGGGGAAUAACAACCGGAAACGGUUGCUAAUACCGCAUAAUGCGAGCGGCACCACAUGGUGACAGUUGUUAAAGCGGGGGAUCGCAAGACCUCGCGCCUAAAGAGGGCCUGCGGCGGAUUAGCUAGUUGGUAGGGAACGGCCUACCAAGGCAACGAUCCGUAGCCGGCCUGAGAGGGC